UACGUAGGGCGCAAGCGUUGUCCGGAAUUAUUGGGCGUAAAGAGCUCGUAGGCGGCUUGUCACGUCGGGUGUGAAAGCCCGGGGCUUAACCCCGGGUCUGCAUUCGAUACGGGCUAGCUAGAGUGUGGUAGGGGAGAUCGGAAUUCCUGGUGUAGCGGUGAAAUGCGCAGAUAUCAGGAGGAACACCGUAGCGGCAAAGGCGGAUCUCGUGGGCCGUAACUGACGCUGAGGAGCGAAAGACAUGGGGAGCGAACAGG
rnacentral:rRNA from 1 species